rnacentral:lncRNA from 1 species
GCGAGACCCCGGACCAGCCCGCACCGCGGAGGACCGGAGAGGGCGAUUCGGUGAGUAUAUGGUGAGAAGGCAGCUGUCUGUGAACCAGAAGGAGGGCCCUCACCAAGAAGUGACCAUGCUGGCACCCUGAUCUUGGACUUCUGGCAUCUGGAACUAUCUAGCUAGUUUAAAGAUGAAAACUGCAGCAGAUGAGAAAGAAAAAUACAACUGGAAAACUUGGAUGAAUUAGAAACACUAAACAGUUUUCAGGAAAGCUGAGUAUCAGAGAAAAACAGAUGCUGGAGGAAAAGAAAAAAAGAGGACACAAAAACUGUCCUGGCCAAAGGGGUCAUGACCACACAUUAUCCUUGGAUGAGGGCUUCCUUUAUGGUGACAAUUGAACAGAAGCAUUUAGAGCAGAUUACAAUGCAUAUUAUACGUACAAUGAAAUCAUUGAAACAGAAAAAAGAGCCAAAAUUGAUGUCUUUGCCUUAAAUCUUGCUUCUUUCUAGUUUAUUCUCUCCACAGUGGUCGGGGCAGUCUGAGAGAAUACGGUGGAAUCGAUGGUAUGCGACUUCCAAGGUUAGGUCAUAAAAGACAUUGAAGUUUCUGCUUUGUCUCUUGAAUCACUUUCUCUGGGGGAAACCAGCUACUGGGUCAUAAGGACACUCAAGCAGCACCAUGGAGGGGCCCAAGUGGAGAGAAACCAACUUGCCAGCAUUAACUUGGUAGUUGUGCAGCCAUGUGAAUGAGUGGAUCCUACCAUCCUAGUCAAACCUCUGAUAACUGAAGGUCCCACCUAUAUUUGACUGCAGUCUUCCAACAGACCCCACCCAAGCUGCUCUAGGAUUCCUGACCUACAGAAACUGUGAGGGAUAAGAUAUGCUUGUUGUUUUAACCCACUAAGUUUUAGAGUGAUUUGUUACACAGCAAUAUACAACAAAUACACAAGUCAUCACAGAAAGUUUGCUUGCUUUCAAGCCUGGAACGCCUGGGACCUUCAGUGAACCUCUUCCUCAGAUACAUGCCUGCGUAGUGUCAACUUGCUCUAUUGCUGGGAAGUGCUUGGCUGAUUAUCUUCUUCCUGCCCUGGGAGAUGUCUCACUAAUCAUUCAUUCAUUCAGCAAACAUUACAACGUUCCAGGCACUGUGCUAACUACUGAAUAUUCAGUGAUAUAGGAUAAAAUCUCUGUCCUAAAGUUGCUUGCAGUCAGAUGGGAGAAAAGCAAGUAAAUACAACAAUUUGUGAGCUUUAAAAAAGACCUAUAACAUCUUGUGAAGGAGGGGCAGAACUUAUCAUCCUCAACUAACAUAGAGAAAAUUGUCUCAUAGAGCAGGAGCUGAUAGCCCUUGGCUUUCUGGAUGGAGGAGACAGCAAUGGAGUGGAGGGAUUUCUCAGGAAUCUCCCCCAGGGGCUGCUCUAC